ACACAAGCCAGUGAAUCUGUUUAUCUGAAUGUGUUCAUGCAGAAAUUUAGAUAGAGCUGGUAAUAAUGAUGCCAUGAUAUAAGCCUUAAAGACAAUAAAAGUCACCAAGGUUGCUCAAAAUGGCUACAACA